rnacentral:lncRNA from 1 species
UUAGGAUAAGGAUUUGGUUAGGAUUUGAUUUAGGGUUAGAAUAUGGUUAGGAUUUGAUUUAGGAUUAAAGUUUACUUAGGAUUUGAUUUACGAUUAGGAUUUGGUUAGGAUUUGAUUUAGGAUUAGGAUUUGGUUUAGGAUUUAGGAUUUGGUUAGGAUUAGAUUUAGGAUUAGGAUUUAGUUUAGGGUUUAGAAUUUUGUUUAAAAUUUGAGGUUUGAUCAGGGUUUGAUUAGGAUUUGAUUUAGGAUUUAGGAUUUUAUUUGAGUUUGUUUAGAAUUUAAGAUUUAGUUAAUUUUUGGCCUAAAGUUUGAAUGAAGUCCAAUAGAAUUUUAACUAAGAUUAAAUUAAGAUUGAAUUGAGAUAUAUUUGAGAUAUGUUUGUAAUUAUUCUAAUAUUUCUUUAAGAUUUCUUAUUUUUUCUUUGGAAUUCUUAAGAGGUUUCUCUGGAUUUGAUCAAAGCUUGUUUAUCAUUGUUAGUGUUCU